AUUGAACGCUGGCGGCAGGCCUAACACAUGCAAGUCGAACGAGUGGCGGACGGGUGAGUAAUGUCUGGGAAACUGCCUGAAGGAGGGGGAUAACUACUGGAAACGGUAGCUAAUACCGCAUACCAUCGGAUGUGCCCAGAUGGGAUUAGCUUGUAGGUGGGGUAAAGGCUCACCUAGGCGACGAUGCCUAGCUGGUCUGAGUGGAUGACCAGCCACACUGGAACUGAGACACGGUCCAGACUCCUACGGGAGGCAGCAGUGGGGAAUAUUGCACACAGGGCGCAAGCAUGAUGCAGCCAUGCCGCGUGUAUGAGGGAGACCUUCGGGUUGUAAAGUACUUUCAGCGGGGAGGGGUUAACCGCAGAAGAAGCACCGGCUAACUCCGUGCCAGCAGCGGCGGUAAUAC
rnacentral:rRNA from 1 species